CAGGGAAUCUUGCACAAUGGGCGAAAGCCUGAUGCAGCGACGCCGCGUGGGGGAUGAAGGCCUUAGGGUCGUAAACCCCUUUCAGCAGGGACGAAAAUGACGGUACCUGCAGAAGAAGCCCCGGCCAACUACGUGCCAGCAGCCGCGGUAAGACGUAGGGGGCGAGCGUUGUCCGGAUUUAUUGGGCGUAAAGAGCUCGUAGGCGGUUGCGUAAGUCGGAUGUGAAAACUCAGGGCUCAACCCUGAGACGCCAUCCGAUACUGCGCUGACUUGAAUCCAGUAGGGGAGUGUGGAAUUCCUGGUGUAGCGGUGAAAUGCGCAGAUAUCAGGAGGAACACCCAUGGCGAAGGCAGCACUCUGGGCUGGUAUUGACGCUGAGGAGCGAAAGCAUGGGUAGCGAACAGGAUUAGAUACCCUGGUAGUCCCUGAGCGGGCUGGCAAGGCGCAU
rnacentral:rRNA from 1 species